ensembl:lncRNA
GGCCACGCCCACGCCCUCCGGCACGAGCGGAGGGCCACGUGCACAGACCCCGGAGAGGCGCGCACGAGCGGACCCCGACACGCAGGGACACGCAGCACCAGCCGAGAUACGACCGAGGCACGCACGCGCACACACACACUCCAGUCUCCCUCUCCCGGCCGAGGCUGUGCGGUCCACGCUCUCCACCCCUCUCGGACCCCCAGCCGCGGGAGCCGAACAGGGAGGUACCAGGCUAGGCCCUCCCCGUGCUCACCACUGCCGUGACUCUGGGUGCUGGGGUCCCUGCAGCCAGGCCCAAGAGAACCCCAGGGGCUGGCGGUGGCACCAAAAAAACACGUCCAGACCCUGGUUUCACCUUGGCCACAGCGCUGGAGGCGGGCAGGUGAGACACCGCGGGGCCAUGCAGACGGCCAGCACUCGACUUUGCCUAAAAAAGGAAGCAGCAGGCUGAGUCUGAGGAGCUGGCGGCACGAACAAGGGAGAGCUGUGUCCCCGCCGGCGUCCCCUGCCCCCCCCCGCCAGGGAUCUUGGCAGUGGAGGUGUUGGCUGGGCUCCACAGACCUCAGACCUCGGCUGGGACCAGAAAUGCCUGCUGCUUCCGCCUGGGCCCGGUGGGGGGACUUUGGGUCCCCAGAGUGCCAGCUGUGCCACUUCGAGGGGCCUCAGACCUCGGCUGGGACCAGAAAUGCCUGCUGCUUCCGCCUGGGCCCGGUGGGGGGGACUUUGGGUCCCCAGAGUGCCAGCUGUGCCACUUCGAGGGGCCUCGCCAGGCUCCCCAGCCCCGAGUACACAGGGGCUGCUGUGGAGAUGACGCUCAAGGCCGCAGCCGCUGGAGGACCUGGGGUCUGACCGGAAGCUGGCUGCAGACCCUGCGGAGGCACGCCCAGGCCAGGCCUCUGCUCUCCGGGGCUAUGGCCUCCCACAGGCACGUUCCUACACCCCUCUGUGAACUGCCCACAGGCCCCCCCACAGGUGUUCCUCUGUGAGCUGGUCGGGCGGCUGGGGCUGGGGCCGGGCUUUGCCACUCAGUGCCUUCAACCUCCCUGGCGGUUUGGGGCCUCAGGGUGGGCCUGGGAAGCUGGAAACACCUUUGGAAACAGCCGUCUGAAGCAGCUGUGGACAGAAGACCCUGCCCAGCAGCCAAGGGAGCUGGCCUCUCCGCUCAGCCUCCCCACCCCCACCAGGCCCAGCUGUUGUUUUCAUGGCUCCGGGACCAGGCGGAUCCUCAGCCAAGAGCUUCCCAGGAGAGCCCUCAUCUUCAACCCCUAGUGGCGGCCAGAGCCAGCCCAGGCAGGACGGGAAGGAAGGCAGCCGCGGCCCCGGGGAAGCCAUCCUGGCAGCUUGGCCACUGGCCCGGCUCCUGUCUGACCAGGAAAGGCAUCAAAGCCGGACUCGGAUGGAGGCUGGAAAACCCCGAGACUUCUGCUGGACUCGACCCAGCCACACACCAGGCUGUACUCAGGGCCACGGAACAAGCCUCGACCCUGGCCCCAGACGGAGCCCAGACCUUGCUGGUCACGGGCUGAGCCCUGCUGGCAAUAUGAUGUACUAGAUCCCUUAAAAGGCCUUUCAGCAACAACCAACUUCUGGAUGAAUUACUAUGAGCAUACAUUUUUAAUAGACUGCUGUGUUUCCAAGAAGGUAAAUAUCUCUGAGGCUCCCCCAAAAUUAAACAGC